rnacentral:rRNA from 1 species
AUUGAACGCUGGCGGCAGGCCUAACACAUGCAAGUCGAGCGGAUGAAGGGAGCUUGCUCCUGGAUUCAGCGGCGGACGGGUGAGUAAUGCCUAGGAAUCUGCCUGGUAGUGGGGGAUAACGUCCGGAAACGGGCGCUAAUACCGCAUACGUCCUGAGGGAGAAAGUGGGGGAUCUUCGGACCUCACGCUAUCAGAUGAGCCUAGGUCGGAUUAGCUAGUUGGUGGGGUAAAGGCCUACCAAGGCGACGAUCCGUAACUGGUCUGAGAGGAUGAUCAGUCACACUGGAACUGAGACACGGUCCAGACUCCUACGGGAGGCAGCAGUGGGGAAUAUUGGACAAUGGGCGCAAGCCUGAUCCAGCCAUGCCGCGUGUGUGAAGAAGGUCUUCGGAUUGUAAAGCACUUUAAGUUGGGAGGAAGGGCAGUAAGUUAAUACCUUGCUGUUUUGACGUUACCAACAGAAUAAGCACCGGCUAACUUCGUG